AUGUCAUGGUUCUACGGAAGCGCUAAAGACAUACCCUACACGACACAAGACAUUGCUAAUCAACGAGCUAAGUUCCGCUUAGAGCACCGCCACAAGGACAUUGGGAGCACAAUUGCAUACUUCCAAGAGAGGGCCAAAGAUUCAUAUUUCUACUGGAGAAUCAAACUUGAUGAUGAGGACAGGGUUGAGAACUUGUUCUGGAUAGAUGGCGCAUCACGCAGGGCAUAUGCAAAGUGUAAUGACUGUUUGUCGUUUGACACGACAUACAUGGCAAACAUGUACAAGAUGCCGUGUGAACCAUUCAUUGGAAUUAAUAACCAUGGUCAAUCCAUCCAGUUUGGGUGUGGCUUCGUUCGAAACGAACUAAAGGAAAACUUUGCGUGGCUGUUUAACACAUUCCUCCAUGCAAUGGGUGGUGUUGCCCCUAAAAACAUCACCACAGACCAGGACUUUGCAAUGAGGAGUGCGAUCGACGAGGUCUUCUUGAACAUAAUACACAGAAAUUGCCGCUGGCAUAUAAUGAAGAAGGCGCAUGAGAAACUUGGAAAACUUAUGGCUGAUGAUAAACCACUAAACAAAGCGUUCAAAGACUGUGUCGACAACAGCUUGACUGGUACGUACCUAAACUGUUGA
rnacentral:rRNA from 1 species